AGAGUUUGAUCCUGGCUCAGGAUGAACGCUGGCUGUGUGCCUAAUACAUGCAUGUCGAGCGAAGCACUUCGGUGCUUAGCGGCGAAUGGGUGAGUAACACGUACUUAACCUACCCCCAAGAUUGGGACAACGCCUGGAAACGGGUGCUAAUACCAAAUACGUAUUUUUAUCGCAUGAUAGAAAUAUAAAAGGAGCUUCGGCUUCGCUAGGGGAUGGGAGUGCGCUACAUUAGUUAGUUGGUAGGGUAAUGGCCUACCAAGACUAUGAUGUAUAGCGGGGCCGAGAGGCUGAUCCGCCACACUGGGACUGAGAUACGGCCCAGACUCCUACGGGAGGCAGCAGUAGGGAAUUUUCCACAAUGAACGAAAGUUUGAUGGAGCGACACAGCGUGCAGGAUGAAGGUCUUCGGAUCGUAAACUGCUGUUAUAAGGGAAGAAAAACUUUAGUAGGUAAUGACUAGAACUUGACGGUACCUUAUCAGAAAGCGACGGCUAACUAUGUGCCAGCAGCCGCGGUAAU
rnacentral:rRNA from 1 species